CCGGACCUGACUGCUAUCGGAUUGAUACUAAGCCAUGCGAGUCGUUGUAGCAAUACAAGGCAUACGGCUCAGUAACGCGUAGUCAACCUAACCUAUGGACGGGAAUAACCUCGGGAAACUGAGAAUAAUGCCCGAUAGAACAUUAUGCCUGGAAUGGUUUAUGUUCCAAAUGAUUUAUCGCCAUAGGAUGGGACUGCGGCCUAUCAGUUUGUUGGUGAGGUAAUGGCCCACCAAGACUAUUACAGGUACGGGCUCUGAGAGGAGUAGCCCGGAGAUGGGUACUGAGACACGGACCCAGGCCCUAUGGGGCGCAGCAGGCGAGAAAACUUUGCAAUGUGCGAAAGCACGACAAGGUUAAUCCGAGUGAUUUCUGCUAAAGAGAUCUUUUGUUAGUCCUAGAAACACUAACGAAUAAGGGGUGGGCAAGUUCUGGUGUCAGCCGCCGCGGUAAAACCAGCACCUCAAGUGGUCAGGAUGAUUAUUGGGCCUAAAGCAUCCGUAGCCGGCUCUGUAAGUUUUCGGUUAAAUCUGUACGCUCAACGUACAGGCUGCCGGAAAUACUGCAGAACUAGGGAGUGGGAGAGGUAGACGGUACUCGGUAGGAAGUGGUAAAAUGCUUUGAUCUAUCGAUGACCACCUGUGGCGAAGGCGGUCUACCAGAACACGUCCGACGGUGAGGGAUGAAAGCUGGGGGAGCAAACCGGAUUAGAUACCCGGGUAGUCCCAGCUGUAAACUAUGCAAACUCAGUGAUGCAUUGGCUUGUGGCCAAUGCAGUGCUGCAGGGAAGCCGUUAAGUUUGCCGCCUGGGAAGUACGUACGCAAGUAUGAAACUUAAAGGAAUUGGCGGGGGAGCACCACAAGGGGUGAAGCCUGCGGUUCAAUUGGAGUCAACGCCGGG
rnacentral:rRNA from 1 species